ACCCAGGCCUACUUUGUUCAGAAGUCUGCUUUGAUUCACCACACCCAGCCGCCCGUCACCAUAUGUCCCGGAGAGUGUUGGCAACUCAAAAGACAGACCUCCGGUCUCCGCAUCACAAAACGGUUAAGAUGCGGGAAUCUGUUCCCGCAGCACGAGUGAGUGGAGGUCAGGCAGGACCUGGAGGUCAAUUCUCUACCGACACUGGCAUCUUUAGGGAGAUUCCAAAGAGCUCUUUGACUGGGGAUGUCAUCUACUCAACUCAAAUUUUUCCUCUUUACAGAUAAAUAAACAAAAUCGGACCUUAGAAUGAAAAGAGACUUGCCAGCAGAGAGGGGAAUUGAAUGAUCUAUAAAUUAGACCGUGAUUUAUAUUUCACUGACACAAACUAUCCAUCAGCUGAAUGACUUUUAAAUCAAUGCUAUAACGCGUAAAAUGGCACAGCUUCGAUAUCGGUCCCCAACUUCAUAAAUCAAAGGAGCAAGAUGGGAUCAGAUGGUGACCACCCUUGUCAACCACUCAAAUCAUAAAUUACAUUCUCAGACGGCUCCCGCUGUGGGUCGAGGGUGGCAUCUUCGAGCACGGGAAGCCACGGAGGCAGGCGAGCCCUUCUUGUCACCACGGCCACCCCGCUUGUUCUCCGGGGAAGCCCGCAGCCCCAACACGCCUUCUGCCUGGCCGGGGACGUCAAUGGAAGGCCGCGGCAGGAAAUGGAUUUCCAUCACGCUAUUGAGAAUGGUAAAGGUGCGUGUGAAUUAAUUACCUACCCGAUUUCAGUGUCUUUCAAUGUCUUCUCACAGACAACCCGAAAUGAAAAGAAAAUAGGGUUUGAGCUCCACUCACUGACAUGUGUUUUUGCCGUGUGACUGUUUACGUCUCUGUUCACAAACACGAGCACACGGGCAGUAACAGCCCCACGCACGAACACAAGCACUGCAGGGACAGCACGGUCCACGGGAACAGCAGCGUCCACGGGGACAGCACAGCCAGCAGUGUCCACGGGAACAGCAUGGU
rnacentral:lncRNA from 1 species